GACGAACGCUGGCGGCGUGCUUAACACAUGCAAGUCGAACGGAAAGGCCCUGCUUUUGUGGGGUGCUCGAGUGGCGAACGGGUGAGUAACACGUGAGUAACCUGCCCUUGACUUUGGGAUAACUUCAGGAAACUGGGGCUAAUACCGGAUAGGAGCUCCUGCUGCAUGGUGGGGGUUGGAAAGUUUCGGCGGUUGGGGAUGGACUCGCGGCUUAUCAUCUUGUUGGUGGGGUAGUGGCUUACCAAGGCUUUGACGGGUAGCCGGCCUGAGAGGGUGACCGGCCACAUUGAGACUGAGAUACGGCCCAGACGGCUACGGGAGGCAACAGUGGGGAAUAUUGCACAAUGGGCGGAAGCCUGGUGCAGAAACGCCGCGUGCGGGAUGACGGCCUUCGGGUUGUAAACCGCUUUCGCCUGUGACGAAGCGUGAGUGACGGUAAUGGGUAAAGAAGCACCGGCUAACUACGUG
rnacentral:rRNA from 1 species